CCUACGGGCGGCAGCAGUGAGGAAUAUUGGUCAAUGGGCGAGAGCCUGAACCAGCCAAGUAGCGUGAAGGAUGACAGCCCUACGGGUUGUAAACUUCUUUUAUAAAGGAAUAAAGUGAGGCACGUGUGCCUUUUUGUAUGUACUUUAUGAAUACGGUUCGGCUAACGCCGUUCCAGCAGCCGCGGGAAUCCGGAGGCUCAGAGCCUUAUCCGGAUUUAUUGGGUUUAAAGGGAGCGUAGAUGGGUUGAUAAGUCAGUUGUGAACGUUUGCGGCUCAACCGGAAAAUUGCAAUUGAUACUGGGAGUCUAGAGUACAGGUGAGGGAGGCGGAAUUCGUGGUGUAGCAGUGAAAUGCGUAGAUAUCGCGAAGAACACCGAUUGCGAAGGCAGCUUACUAGACUGCCACUGACAUUGAGGCUCGAAGGUGUGGGGAUCGAACGGGAUUAGAUACCCCUGUAGUC
rnacentral:rRNA from 1 species